CCUACGGGUGGCAGCAGUCGAGAAUCAUUCACAAUGGGGGAAACCCUGAUGGUGCGACGCCGCGUGGGGGAAUGAAGGUCUUCGGAUUGUAAACCCCUGUCAUGUGGGAGCAAAUUAAAAAGUUAGUACCACAAGAGGAAGAGACUGCUAACUCUGUGCCAGCAGCCGCGGUAAUACAGAGGUCUCAAGCGUUGUUCGGAAUCACUGGGCGUAAAGGGUGCGUAGGCGGUUUCGUAAGUCGUGUGUGAAAGGCGCGGGCUCAACCCGCGGAAGGCACAUGAUACUGCGAGACUAGAGUAAUGGAGGGGGAAGCGGAAUUCUCGGUGUAGCAGUGAAAUGCGUAGAUAUCGAGAGGAACACUCGUGGCGAAGGCGGGUUCCUGGACAUUAACUGACGCUGAGGCACGAAGGCCAGGGGAGCGAAAGGGAUUAGAUACCCGGGUAGUC
rnacentral:rRNA from 1 species